AGAGACCCAUAUCUGGAGACAGACUACAUGUGCAUGCCUUCCUGAAGAAGGUGCAUCAUGCAUCUUCCCAGAUAAAAUGUAAUUGACCUGAGCACAAGAUCGUGUCAUUAUGUCACAUCUGUCAUUUGGAGUGUGAGAGGAAAGUACCAUAUUAUGACACAGCAGUUGAGACUAGCAAGAAAUAAUUCCUACAGAACACCACUGCAUCAAACAAUCUGUAAGUUUAAACUAAAAACAAUAUGAGAAAGGGAAAGUUUGAUGACAGAUUGAGUAUCAUAAUAUAGCUGCAGG
rnacentral:lncRNA from 1 species